rnacentral:lncRNA from 1 species
AUAUCUAGUUUUGUACCCAGCUCUCUUGAGGGUUGUGGAGUGUAGCUAGUAUUGAACAUGGAGAUCAAUUAUGCUCUGGCAUUGCUCUUAGUCCUCAUUCUCAACUUGGGUAGUUUGCUCACUUCUCUUGCUAACUCCUAUUGCCCACCACCAACAUACCCUCCAGUUCCUCACUUGCCACCCAAACACCCUCCCCAUGUAACUCCACCCUUCCACCCUAAACCACCAAAGAAGCCACCACCAUAUGUCAAACCACCUCAUGCAAAGCCUCCUCCUCAUGUACCAAUCAAACCCCCUCAUGUUAAACCACCCAUUGUAAAACCACCUCCUUAUCCGAAACCUCCAGUUGCCAAACCACCUCCCCAUCCCAAACCUCCUGUUGUCAAACCACCUCCCCAUCCCAAACCUCCUGUUGUCAAACCACCUCCCCAUCCCAAACCUCCUGUUGUCAAACCACCUCCCUAUCCCAAACCUCCUGUUGUCAAACCACCUCACCUAUCCCAAACCUCCUGUUGUCAAACCACCCUCCCUAUCCCAAACCUCCUGUUGUCAAACCACCUCCCUAUCCCAAACCUCCUGUUGUCAAACCACCUCACCAUCCCAAGCCUCCUGUUGUCAAACCACCUCCCCAUCCCAAACCUCCUGUUGUCAAGCCUCCAGUUGUCAAACCACCUCCCCAUCCCAAACCACCAGUUGUACUGCCUCCACCAUAUACCCCGAAGCCCCGGUUGUACUGCCUUCCACCAUAUACCCCGAAGCCCCCGGUUGUGCUGCCUCCACCAUAUACCCCGAAGCCCCCGGUUGUGGCCUCCACCAUAUCCCCCGAACCCCCCCGGUGUAUGUGCUGCCUCCACCAUAUACCCCGAAGCCCCCGGUUGUACUGCCUCCACCAUAUACCCCGAAGCCCCCGGUUGUACUGCCUCCACCAUAUACCCCGAAGCCCCCGGUUGUACUGCCUCCACCAUAUACCCCGAAGCCCCCGGUUGUACUGCCUCCACCAUAUACCCCGAAGCCCCCAGUUGUACUGCCUCCACCAUAUACCCCCAAGCCCCCAGUUGUACUGCCUCCACCAUAUACCCCCAAGCCCCCAGUUGUACUGCCUCCACCUUCACCACCUGUUGUAGUGCCAAGCCCACCAUCAACACCAACCCCAACCCCAGUUGUCCCAGUGAAGCCUCCUCCACCCACUGAAACACCAUGCCCUCCUCCACCACCAAAGGUAGUACCACCCCCAACAUCACCACCUCCAAAGUCGCCACCGAAGGACACGUGCCCCAUCGACACCUUAAAGUUGGGAGCUUGUGUAGAUGUGCUGGGUGGACUUAUCCAC